CAGCACCUCAAGUGGUCAGGAUGAUUAUUGGGCCUAAAGCAUCCGUAGCCGGCGCUGUAAGUUUUCGGUUAAAUCUGUACGCUCAACGUACAGGCUGCCGGGAAUACUGCAGAGCUAGGGGGUGGGAGAGGUAGACGGUACUCGGUAGGAAGGGGUAAAAUCCUUUGAUCUAUUGAUGACCACCUGUGGCGAAGGCGGUCUACCAGAACACGUCCGACGGUGAGGGAUGAAAGCUGGGGGAGCAAACCGGAUUAGAGACCCGAGUAGUCC
rnacentral:rRNA from 1 species